UGGGAAUUUUGGACGAAUUGGGCGCAAGCCUGAUCCAGCCAUGCCGCGUGCGGGAAGAAGGCCUUCGGGUUGUAAACCGCUUUUGUCAGGGAAGAAAUCUUCUGAGUUAAUACCUCGGGAGGAUGACGGUACCUGAAGAAUAAGCACCGGCUAACUACGUGCCAGCAGCCGCGGUAAUACGUAGGGUGCAAGCGUUAAUCGGAAUUACUGGGCGUAAAGCGUGCGCAGGCGGUUUUGUAAGACAGAGGUGAAAUCCCCGGCUCAACCUGGGAACUGCCUUUGUGACUGCAAGGCUUGAGUGCGGCAGAGGGGAUGGAAUUCCGCGUGUAGCAGUGAAAUGCGUAGAUAUGCGGAGGAACACCGAUGGCGAAGGCAAUCCCCUGGGCCUGCACUGACGCUCAUGCACGAAAGCGUGGGGAGCAAACAGGAUUAGAUACCCUGGUAGUCCACGCCCUAAACGAUGUCAACUGGUUGUUGGGAAGGUUCCUUCUCAGUAACGUAGCUAACGCGUGAAGUUGACCGCCUGGGGAGUACGGCCGCAAGGUUGAAACUCAAAUGAAUUGACGGGGUCAUAGCUGUUUCCUG
rnacentral:rRNA from 1 species